AAAAUUUUUUAUUUAUUUAUUGUUUUUUCCAAAAUGACCUUUCCUUGCUAACAAACAAAAAUUUAAGAAGCAGCAAGGCCACAUGUGACUUUCUUACUGAGCUCAAGGGAGCCCUAGGGACCUUUGAGGUACAAGAAAAGGGGAGGGCCCAGUACUCUUCCUAUCACCCCCACCUCACCACAGUGGCCUUCUGUCUUUUUCACAGCUCAAGUUCCCAUGUAAAAUUUCACUAGAAGAAUAAUAGUUUGGAAGACUAACUCCUGUCAUGUCACAGGAUCUUUCUAUGACUCCUCUGGAUAAAAGCCUCCAGAGGCUCCCCAUUGCCUACAGCAUACAGGACCUGCCAGCACACCCCAGCCUCCUCACGAUCUGACUUCUACUAACUUACCCAAAGUGGGCUGUUACUAGCUUGUUUUCCUGUCAUCCUGUGUGUCACCACCCUCUGCGUCAUGUCACAAUUCACUCCCCGGCUCUCUCCCAACCACACUCUGGGCCUCUGGAUGCUUCACUUCACCUGCCUAGGAUGCCCUUCCUGCUAUAGGAACCUUUCUUUGUCUGGAAGAUACCUGUUCCUUCAAGACAUCCUUUAAGGGUCAUCUCCCAGCCCCACGUUGGAGCACUCCUGUUGUUUCCUUGUGUAUGUUCCCCGCUGGGCUACUCUACUAAAUUGAAACUACUCUAUUCUUGGUUGUGUUGGUUUUUCUUCCCCUCCCCUAUCCUGGUCUUGGCCAAAAAUGGAAGUGCUUCUAAAAUGCAGGCUCCACACAAGUAGGAGGCUUAUCUGUUGUUUUCACUGCUGCAUCCCCAGGCUGGAAGAGGGACUAGCACAUUCUAAGCAUCCAGUAAGUAUUUGUUAAAUAAGUACAUAAGCCAGAACCUCUAUUUCAACAGCCAGAACUACCACCAUACCUGUAACAAAAGUCGUGCUUCUGGAAGGUCUGGCAAGCCAAAGGGAAGAUAUCCAGAAAGGCCCAGAGUGUGGUGCAGGUAUCACAAAGGUAGAGAAUAAUGUCCUUUAAUUCCUGUUGCCAAAAGAAUACACUGCGUUAUUCUCCUCUGCCCACACAUACAGAUCUGCAGAGCGUCUGAGACAACAUUAACACAAUCGGAGUCCCAAACAGGCAGGAUGUUACACGGGAGGAAGAGAACACUGGAGGUCCCAGACAAAGCCUGGCUGGUCCAUCUUCAGAAGCACGAUCUGGGUAAGUCACCUAACCUCUCUAAGUCUCAGUUUGCUAUGGUAGCUCCAAUGGCUUUACACCCAAUGAUUGCUGGGUUACUUCCAGUUCUGAGAUAAUGCAAUUUCUUCUCCUAAGCUAAAGGAAAACCAACUCUUAAAUCUGAAGACAUUAUAGAAAGAAGAAACAUCCGAGGCAGGACAAGAAUAUUAAGUACAUAUUCUUGUACUUAAUAUUUAAGGUUUUUCACAUCUUGAAGAGGGUGUACAAAACACUUUCUAAGUUUCUUACAUACUCUCCUGGUUCUCAUGACAACUCUGAAAAGUAGGCUGGGAAGCUGUUGAGAAUCUCUAUUUUACAGAUAAGGAAACAGGUUCUGAGGGGUAAAAUGAUUUGUUCCCACAGUGCCUGCCACAUGCCCUUCUGAAACAAGAUCACAUUCUCCAGGAGGCAGCUCAUAGCUGCCUUGUUCCUGUUCUAUCUCCAGGGCUUAGUGCAGCAUGUGGCACAUGCUGAGGCUUCCUGAAUGUCUGCCUUCCAUUUGUCAUCCCUGUUAGACUCGAAAUUCCAUGAGCACAGGGGCCAGUCUGCUUUUGUUUACUGCUUUACCUCCAGGCCUAGCACAGGGUCUGGCACAUGCUGGGGAUUCCUCAAUAUAAGUCCAUUGAAUGAAUGACUGGCUCAGUGCAUAACAUACAAAUGAGCAUGUCGAACUGAAAUAAAUGAGGACACUGAAUUCUUAUUCCCUGGUUCUUUCCACUACUUUGUAAAUGAAGCUCUCAGAGAGAAACGCAAGCCAGC